rnacentral:rRNA from 1 species
UCGCCGCCCGUCGCGAGGCGGACGGAGGGAUGGAUGAGGGUUACCUGGAAAAAAUCGGGGCGAUCUAGGCGGGCGAACCUCGCCAACGAACGAUCGGACAUGGGAUAACGGAAGAGGGCGUCGGCUCGACUUCGUCGGUUCCUCGGGGCCGAGGCACGUACGGUGAAUAGGGACGGUCGGGGCCGCCCGUACCGGGUCGUGAGAGGUGAAAUUCUAGGAUCGACCCGAGACGAACUGCCGCGAAAGCAUUCGGCAAGGACGCUUUCAUUAAUCAAGAACGAAAGUCGGGGGAUCGAAGACGAUCAGAUACCGUCGUAGUCCCGACCGUAAACGAUGCCGACCGAGGGCCCGGAGGAGUUACGUACGACCCUCCGGGCCCUCCCGCGAGAAAUCAGGAGUAUUCGGGUUCCGGGGGGA